rnacentral:rRNA from 1 species
AUUGAACGCUGGCGGCAUGCCUUACACAUGCAAGUCGAACGGCAGCACGGGUGCUUGCACCUGGUGGCGAGUGGCGAACGGGUGAGUAAUACAUCGGAACGUGCCUUAUCGUGGGGGAUAACGCAGCGAAAGCUGUGCUAAUACCGCAUACGCCCUGAGGGGGAAAGCGGGGGAUCGAAAGACCUCGCGCGAUUAGAGCGGCGGAUUCCUGAUUAGCUUGUUGGUGGGGUAAAAGCCCACCAAGGCGACGAUCAGUAGCUGGUCUGAGAGGACGAUCAGCCACACUGGGACUGAGACACGGCCCAGACUCCUACGGGAGGCAGCAGUGGGGAAUUUUGGACAAUGGGGGCAACCCUGAUCCAGCAAUGCCGCGUGAGUGAAGAAGGCCUUCGGGUUGUAAAGCUCUUUUGUCAGGGAAGAAACACCGGCUCUAACACAGUCCGGGAAUGACGGUACCUGAAGAAUAAGCACCGGCUAACUACGUGCCAGCCGCCGCAGUAA